UACCAGCACCCCGAGUGGUCGGGACGUUUAUUGGGCCUAAAGCAUCCGUAGCCGGUUCUACGAGUCUUCCGUUAAAUCCAACUGCUUAACAGGUGGGCUGCGGAAGAUACUAUAGAGCUAGGAGGCGGGAGAGGCAAGCGGUACUCGAUGGGUAGGGGUAAAAUCCGUUGAUCCAUUGAAGACCACCAGUGGCGAAGGCGGCUUGCCAGAACGCGCUCGACGGUGAGGGAUGAAAGCUGGGGGGAGCAAAUCGG
rnacentral:rRNA from 1 species